GAUGCAGGGUUCAUUACGGCCAUAACUCCGGCUAAUGAGGCAGUGCUCGUCACAACACCAGAUAUUACUAGUCUACGAGACGCAGAUAGAGUGACGGGGCUUUUGGAGUGCGAUGGAAUUAGGGAUAUAAAGAUGAUUGUGAAUAGGGUGAGGACGGAUAUGAUCAAAGGCGAGGACAUGAUGUCAGUGCUGGACGUGCAGGAGAUGUUGGGGUUGGCGUUGUU
rnacentral:misc_RNA from 1 species